GCGGUUAUGGCGGAAUGGUAGACGCGCAGCGUUGAGGUCGUUGUGGAUGAAAAUCCGUGGAAGUUCAAAUCUUCUUAACCGUA
rnacentral:tRNA from 1 species